rnacentral:rRNA from 1 species
AUUGAACGCUGGCGGCAUGCCUUACACAUGCAAGUCGAACGGCAGCACGGGUGCUUGCCCCUGGUGGCGAGUGGCGAACGGGUGAGUAAUACAUCGGCACAUGUCCUGUAGUGGGGGAUAGCCCGGCGAAAGCCGGAUUAAUACCGCAUACGAUCUACGGAUGAAAGCGGGGGACCUUCGGGCCUCGCGCUAUAGGGUUGGCCGAUGGCUGAUUAGCUAGUUGGUGGGGUAAAGGCCUACCAAGGCGACGAUCAGUAGCUGGUCUGAGAGGACGACCAGCCACACUGGGACUGAGACACGGCCCAGACUCCUACGGGAGGCAGCAGUGGGGAAUUUUGGACAAUGGGCGAAAGCCUGAUCCAGCAAUGCCGCGUGUGUGAAGAAGGCCUUCGGGUUGUAAAGCACUUUUGUCCGGAAAGAAAUCCUUGGCCCUAAUACGGUCGGGGGAUGACGGUACCGGAAGAAUAAGCACCGGCUAACUACGUG